UAAACUUUUUAUUAAUCACUCACACAUAUCGACACAUGCUCCGGGGUGCCCGCUGUCAUUUGCUAUUGCUAAAGACAGAUAGAGGGUCGGUAGGAUGGGAUAUGUGGACGCCUAAC
rnacentral:sRNA from 1 species